CUGGGCGGGAGGAAAUCUUUGGUAUUACAAAAUAGCAUACAGUUAGACCAAUCAAAAUGUGUGAAAUAAGACAUAUUACAAAAUUGCCAAUGUCAGUUGUUUGUAAAGUUUGCUUCCUAAAUGUUGUAUGAAAACUUGAAAAUCGUUGUAGAAUGGCUUUGGGAAAAAAAUAAUUGUACAUUUUUUUAUUUCUGUGAAAAUAAUUUAAGUUCUU
rnacentral:lncRNA from 1 species